UGGGAAAUAUUGCGCAAUGGGCGAAAGCCUGACGCAGCGACGCCGCGUGAGGGAUGAAGGUUUUCGGAUCGUAAACCUCUGUCAGAAGGGAAGAAACCGCACUGUGCUAAUCAGCAGUGCCUUGACGGUACCUUCAAAGGAAGCACCGGCUAACUCCGUGCCAGCAGCCGCGGUAAUACGGAGGGUGCAAGCGUUAAUCGGAAUUACUGGGCGUAAAGCGCACGUAGGCUGCUUUGUAAGUCAGGGGUGAGAUCCCACGGCUCAACCGUGGAACUGCCUUUGAUACUGCUUAGCUUGAAUCCGGGAGAGGGUGGCGGAAUUCCAGGUGUAGAAGUGAAAUCCGUAGAUAUCUGGAGGAACAUCAGUGGCGAAGGCGGCCACCUGGACCGGUAUUGACGCUGAGGUGCGAAAGCGUGGGGAGCAAACAGG
rnacentral:rRNA from 1 species